AUGCGAUGGCUGCCUCUUUCCCGCUCCCUCCCUCUCUCCCUCCCCCGACGAGGCAGCACCUGCGGCUCUCUCCAGGCCCUCCCCGUCCGGAGGCCGGUUGCCUGGCCAUUGGCUGCGGGCUGGAGGGGCCGGCGAGUCCGGCUUGGGCUCCCAUUGGCGGCCAGAGAGCCCGGCCCGGCCCCGUUCGCCCCCUUUUCGCCUCGCCCGGAGCGCCCCGUCCAAAAGACCGGCAAGAUGCGAACACCGGCUCUGGGCGCGCUCUGCUUGCUGGGCUUCCUGGCAAUGGCAGCAAUGGAGGAGAAAGGGGGUGCUCCGGAGAGGCGCAAGAAGGAGCCCACGGGGAGGGUCCCCAAGGCGGCCAGACCCAACACCUGUGGCGAGACCUGCUGCCCUGGCUGGUCCCUGGGUCCCAAGACGAAUAAGUGCACCAAAGCUAUCUGUACCCCGCGAUGUCGGAAUGGGGGGCAAUGUAAAGCCCCCCAGCAGUGCACCUGCCGCCCAGGCUUUACAGGAUCCCACUGCGAAUUCACCGUUCCCACCACAAUGUUGACCCCGCACUCCUCCAAGCCUCCUCUGAACUCCAUGGUCGUGCGCUGGAAACCGCUGACAGUAUCUGAGCUCCAAAUGGUGCUGCAGAGACGAAAGGCUUUGGAUCCCUCUGAGAAGAUGGCCAUGAUCCUGGCCCAACAUCUCGCCUCCCGUCCUGACGCUGCCAGGAAUGGCCUCCCUGGACACGCCGCCCGACCAACACGAAGGCCCCAUGGUAAUAGGGUACAGGAGGAGUGGGUGAGGCACGUGGGAAGCCACGUGAAACAGAGAGGGAGGUUGGGUUUGGCGUGGUAUCUAAUGAUCAUAAAGGGCCUAAAGGGCCAAAAGACAGCAGAUGCUGUCUGA
rnacentral:lncRNA from 1 species